rnacentral:lncRNA from 1 species
UCUUUUUUUUUUUUUUGAUGAAGGUUGCUGGGGUUAAAGGGAUUUGAGUGAUUAUGGGAGCAGCUAAAGAUGAGAGGGGCUCAGUUUUCUGCAACACUAAGCGAUGAGAAAUGCUCUGAGCUCCGAGCAGAGCAGGCCUCCAUGUGUGUCCCUGGUCAGGGUGGGUUUGCUCCAUGUUAGCAACACUGCCUGUACCACUUGUGUGGAAGAGAUUAUUUGCGAGGCUCUGAGGUCUCAGAAGUCUGUUGUUGCUUAGCUUGUUCGAGAUACUCUUCGAUUUCCCCCUUAAAAACUUCAGGAACUUUGCAAGCUCUGAAGGGUGCCGUACCCGCGUUCUGCAUGGCACGAGGGGGAUCCAGCGGGUGUCAGCGUUGCUGAGCAGUGAAUGCAUAAGGUGUGGAUUUGGGUUUAAAAGAAACCAUAGGAAACUGAGAUGCAUAAACGGACAGUCCUGGAGCUUGAUGGGAACGAUUGAUUUCCUGCAGCAUUGUGUAUUUUCUGCCCAACACGACCUCAAUACAGACUUCUGGGUGAGUGAGGGCUGCAGUAAACCUGAG